GCUUUCUACAUAAAAUUUCAACGGCAUACAGGACUGGAACAAAAUUAGGCACAACAAAGUCUGUGCAAUUCAUUUUUUGAAAGGUAAUUUACUUGUUUAAAGUGGAGACAACAAAGUCAAUAAAGAGCUUAAGAUGAAGCACAAGACGUGAUGUAAGAAGGAAACAAAAACAAAUCAAGUGCGGCAGGAUUGAUCCAUGCAAUUCAGUCCAUCCAUCUCCACUGUUCCUGCAUCUGUAGCUGCAGCCGUCACCUCACAUGAUGAUCUGGAGUGAGUUCUGAUGAGAUAAGCUGCUAAAGCCGGUUUCAUAUCAACAUCAUCA